CCUUUUCCCUUCACGCUCUUUUACUUCAUAGACUUCAAAGAGUUCUGCAGUCCAAUCUUCAUCAGCCUCCUCAUUGAAGUCACCUUCAAGAACCACAACAUUCAGUUUGGCAACUGAUUGAGGUCCAGUUUGCAUGACACAGCCUGAGGUAGCAUCUAGCAGGACAACAUGGAUAGCUGCUCCUUGUUCCCCCUCAACCUUCCCACCUGUGAAUAGGUGAGGUGGCAUCCUUGUUCUGAAAUGAAGCUGUAGAUUUCUUCCUUCUGGCCCUUGUAUUUUUGGUGGUGAUCUUGCUGCCAAGUUAGCAUGACCCAUUCUUGUCAGAGCACGCUCCACUUCUUCACUAACGAUUCUGCGAAAUAGAGGCUCCAAAGAUGAGCAAAGUCUUUGCAAACUAUCCACCUUCAAAGCUUCCACAAUAACACUUGCUAAAGCCGGCAUUUUUGCCUUCUUUGGAUCAGGCAAGUGGUCAGCUUCAUCUUCAACACACUGCUCAUAACCCCUUUUCUCUAUACUCCUGCCCCUUGAAUUUUCCAUUUAUAGAAAC
rnacentral:misc_RNA from 1 species